GUACACUCCUGCGGGAGGCAGCAGUGGGGAAUUUUGGACAAUGGGCGAAAGCCUGAUCCAGCAAUGCCGCGUGAGUGAAGAAGGCCUUCGGGUUGUAAAGCUCUUUUGUCAGGGAAGAAACGGUGAGAGCUAAUAUCUCUUGCUAAUGACGGUACCUGAAGAAUAAGCACCGGCUAACUACGUGCCAGCAGCCGCGGUAAUACGUAGGGUGCAAGCGUUAAUCGGAAUUACUGGGCGUAAAGCGUGCGCAGGCGGUUUUGUAAGUCUGAUGUGAAAUCCCCGGGCUCAACCUGGGAAUUGCAUUGGAGACUGCAAGGCUAGAAUCUGGCAGAGGGGGGUAGAAUUCCACGUGUAGCAGUGAAAUGCGUAGAUAUGUGGAGGAACACCGAUGGCGAAGGCAGCCCCCUGGGUCAAGAUUGACGCUCAUGCACGAAAGCGUGGGGAGCAAACAGGAUUAGAUACCCCGGUAGUCCCAU
rnacentral:rRNA from 1 species